CAGGUGCACUCAGGUGUAUCUCAGGUAACUCCAGGUGUAUUUUCAGCCUCCCUUCGUGGUGACCCUGGACAAGGUGGAGCUGAUCCACUUUGAGCGGGUGCACUCAGGUGUAUCCCAGGUGUAUCCAGGUGUAUCCCAGUUAACUCAGGUGUAUCCCAG